GAGCUCAGUUGGUUAGAGUGUGUUGCUGAUAACGCCAAGGUUGCAGGUUGGAUCCUUGUAUGGGACA